rnacentral:rRNA from 1 species
UACAGAGACUGCAAGCGUUAUUCGGAUUCACUGGGCGUAAAGGGUGCGCAGGCGGCCAAGUGUGUCAGAUGUGAAAUCCCGAGGCUUAACCUCGGAACUGCGUCUGAAACUACUUGGCUAGAGUACUGGAGAGGGUAACGGAAUUCACGGUGUAGCAGUGAAAUGCGUAGAUAUCGUGAGGAACACCAGAGGCGAAGGCGGUUACCUGGACAGUUCCUGACGCUGAGGCACGAAGGUCAGGGGAGCAAACGGG